GUGGCUGCUCCUGCGGCCAGCCGCAAGCAGGAGCAUCCUCCUGCCUCUGAACCAGCAGCCCCGCGCCCUGCGCAGCGCCAGAGCCGCCCGUCCAGUCCCAUCCCGUCCCGUCCCAUCCCAACCCGUCCCGGGCACCCCCGAGCCCCCUUGCCCGCAGCGGGGAGGGGUCUCCGGCCGCGGGCGUGCCGGUGGCCGCGGGCUGGAAGUGGGAGGGAGCCGGGCCGGAGGGGGGCACGUCCCGGGAGAGGGGUGGGGAGAGCCGGCGGCGAGCCGGACUGCGCCGCAACGCCCCUCGCUAUAAAGCCGGGGGCCGCGCAGCGGAGCGAGAGGAGUGGUGCGGCCGGGGAGGGAGAGCGGGGCGAGCCCAGCACGGGGCCGUGCCGUCCGGUCCCGUCCCGUCCCGUCCCGUCCGGGCCAGCCGCCGCCGAGACAGGCACAGAAAAUGGGUAAUAACUGAAGACUACCUCACAGCAGGAAAGAGCGAUCAGAUUGGCAAUGCAUCACUGAAUGGCAUGACUGAAGACAAGACAAAGAGCGGGCUACAACACAAGGUAACAUUGGCAAUAUUUAAAGAAACUGGUACUGAAUUUGGGCAAGGUCAAUAUUUAGACAGUAUUUCACUGUUUGGAGUGAAGGCUGUAAUUAGAGUUAAGGCCAGAACAAAGAAUGAUUUAACCAAAUGCCUAAUUUAA
ensembl:lncRNA